GAUGAACGCUGGCGGCAUGCCUAAGACAUGCAAGUCGAACGAGAAGGCCCAAUGAUGAUUGCGUGCUUGCACAAAAUCUGAUUUGGAAUUUCCUUCUAGUGGCAAACGGGUGAGUAACACGUGGGUAACCUACCUCUAAGACGGGGAUAACAGUUGGAAACGACUGCUAAUACCGGAUGUGAUCUACGGAUUAAAGGAGCCUUUAAAGCUCCGCUUAGAGAUGGGCCUGCGGUGCAUUAGCUAGUUGGUGGGGUAAUGGCCUACCAAGGCGACGAUGCAUAGCCGAACUGAGAGGUUAAUCGGCCACACUGGGACUGAGAUACGGCCCAGACUCCUACGGGAGGCAGCAGUGGGGAAUAUUGGGCAAUGGGGGAAACCCUGACCCAGCAACGCCGCGUGAAGGAGAAGG
rnacentral:rRNA from 1 species